rnacentral:rRNA from 1 species
UACAGAGGGGGCAAGCGUUAUUCGGAAUUAUUGGGCGUAAAGGGCGCGUAGGCGGGCUGUCAAGUCUGGGGUGAAAUCCCGCGGCUCAACCGUGGAACUGCCUUAGAUACUGACGGCCUCGAGGGAGGUAGGGGCGAGCGGAACUGUGAGUGGAGCGGUGAAAUGCGUUGAUAUUCACAGGAACUCCGGUGGCGAAGGCGGCUCGCUGGACCUUUUCUGACGCUGAGGCGCGAAAGCUAGGGGAGCAAACGGG